UUGAUCCUGGCUCAGGACGAACGCUGGCGGCGUGCCUAAUACAUGCAAGUCGAGCGGACAGAAGGGAGCUUGCUCCCGGAUGUUAGCGGCGGACGGGUGAGUAACACGUGGGUAACCUGCCUGUAAGACUGGGAUAACUCCGGGAAACCGGAGCUAAUACCGGAUAGUUCCUUGAACCGCAUGGUUCAAGGAUGAAAGACGGUUUCGGCUGUCACUUACAGAUGGACCCGCGGCGCAUUAGCUAGUUGGUGGGGUAAUGGCUCACCAAGGCGACGAUGCGUAGCCGACCUGAGAGGGUGAUCGGCCACACUGGGACUGAGACACGGCCCAGACUCCUACGGGAGGCAGCAGUAGGGAAUCUUCCGCAAUGGACGAAAGUCUGACGGAGCAACGCCGCGUGAGUGAUGAAGGUUUUCGGAUCGUAAAGCUCUGUUGUUAGGGAAGAACAAGUGCGAGAGUAACUGCUCGCACCUUGACGGUACCUAACCAGAAAGCCACGGCUAACUACGUGCCAGCAGCCGCGGUAAUACGUAGGUGGCAAGCGUUGUCCGGAAUUAUUGGGCGUAAAGGGCUCGCAGGCGGUUUCUUAAGUCUGAUGUGAAAGCCCCCGGCUCAACCGGGGAGGGUCAUUGGAAACUGGGAAACUUGAGUGCAGAAGAGGAGAGUGGAAUUCCACGUGUAGCGGUGAAAUGCGUAGAGAUGUGGAGGAACACCAGUGGCGAAGGCGACUCUCUGGUCUGUAACUGAC
rnacentral:rRNA from 1 species